rfam:Loktanella sp. 3ANDIMAR09 PM07_006, whole genome shotgun sequence.
GUUUACGGGGAUCGCCCUCCGUCAGCGCGUUGCGCCCACGGGGGCGCUACCG